AACGAACGCUGGUUGCAAGCUUAACACAUGCAAGUCGAGCUCCCCGCAAGGGUAGCGGCAGACGGGGUAAUAACUCGUGGGAACGUACCCUGUGCUACGGAAUAGCGCCGAGACACUAGAAUUAAUACAGGAUGUGCCCUACGGGGGAAAGAUUUAUCGGAAAAGGAUCGGCCCGCGUUGAAUUAGCUAGUUGGUGGGGAAGUGGCCAACAAAGGCGAGGAGCCAUAGCUGGUCUGAGAGGAUGAUCAGCAACAUUGGGACUGAGACAGGGCCCAACAUCCUACGGGAGGAAGCAGUGGGGAAUAUUGGCAAAUGAGCGCAAGCCUGUUCCAGCAAUGCCGCGUGAGUGAUGAAGGCUUCAGGGUUUUAAAGCUCUUUCACAGGAGAAGAUAAUGACGGUAUCCGGAGAAGAAGCCAUGGCUAACUUCGUGCCAGCCGCCGCCGUAAGAC
rnacentral:rRNA from 1 species